rnacentral:misc_RNA from 1 species
AAUUCUCAACCUUAUUUGAUUCGUCUUGUAAGGCUUGGAUGUGAGGGUUGCCGGCUUCCUUUAGUGGAUGGCCAGCUCCCUUUAAAAGCAUUAGCUGGGAUCCUUUGUGGACUAGUUCACUUGGUGUGAUAAUUUAUCUACGCCGCUUGUGCAACUUGAAGCAAAACUUGUGGGAACCUGCUUAUAACCGUCUCUUCGGGGACAACCUAAUGACA